rnacentral:rRNA from 1 species
CCUACGGGUGGCAGCAGUGAGGAAUAUUGGUCAAUGGGCGCGACCCUGAACCAGCCAAGUAGCGUGAAGGAUGACUGCCCUACGGGUUGUAAACUUCUUUUAUAAAGGAAUAAAUUGAAGCACAUGUGCCUUUUUGUAUGUACUUUAUGAAUAAUGAUCGGCUAACUCCGUGCCAGCAGCCGCGGUAAGACUGAUGAGCCGAGCGUUAUCCUGAUUUAUUGGGUUUAAAGGGAGCGUAGAUGGGGUGUUAAGUCAGUUGUGAAAGUUUGCGGCUCAACCGUAAAAUUGCAAGUGAUACUGGCAGUCUUGAGUACAGUUGAGGUAGGCGGAAUUCGUGGUGUAGCGGUGAAAUGCUUAGAUAUCACGAAGAACUCCGAUUGCGAAGGCAGCUUACUAAACUGCCACUGACAUUGAUGCUCGAAAGUGUGGGUAUCAAACAGGAUUAGAUACCCUGGUAGUC